rnacentral:tRNA from 1 species
GCCUGGGUGGCUCAGUCCGUUGAGCGUCUGACUUCAGCUCAGGUCAUGAUCUCGCGGUCUGUGAGUUCAAGCCCCGCAUCGGGCU